ensembl:processed_transcript
CCAGCUUUGUCAAUGGAGCCAGCCUGUCUGUGCCAGACAAGGUUCUCAACAGAGCAGACUAAAGGAACAAGCCAGUGUGGACACCCUGCUCUUCUGAGUGUCUGCUCCUAGGGGGCUGGGCAGCGACAUAGAGCUCUCAGAAGAGUAUGAGGGAAUCCAUGCUAUGAGGACACUGCCAUCCAGACAAGUGUGAGGCCAGCCUGGGGUACAUGAAACUGUCUUUAAAAGGUUCAAGUUAAGGGCUACAGACUAGACUGUGUUGAAAAGAAAACUAGUGAUCGGGAAGAAAUGUUUGCAGAAAAUAGGCAGAGGGAAAUACAGGAAAACAAGGAAGAAGCAUAAACCAUCUCGAGGGCGCCAGACGCAGAAGAAACUAGACGGACGUCUUAUUUAAAAGAGGCCUCAAGACACUAGAAGAUUCUACGUCUCUAUUGGGACCUGGCCAGAACGCCAAAGGGAGAUGGAGCAAUGGCGGAGAUGCCUGGGCCCUGGAUGAACUCAAGCACUAGCGCCAAACCACCAGGCUGGGAGACUUCUGAAGAGGGAAGUGCAGUCAAUGCACGCCAGCAGGUGCCCUGCAGAGAAGCGAGCCCUUGCCUCAGAGCUCCGCACAGCUCACAGACUUUUAGGCUACAUGAAUCAAUGCUGUUUUAGGUC